GACGAACGCUGGCGGCGUGCUUAACACAUGCAAGUCGUACGGCAAGGCCCUUUCGGGGGUACACGAGUGGCGAACGGGUGAGUAACACGUGAGUAACCUGCCCACAACUUUGGGAUAACGCUAGGAAACUGGUGCUAAUACUGGAUAUGUGCUCCUGCUGCAUGGUGGGGGUUGGAAAGCUCCGGCGGUUGUGGAUGGACUCGCGGCCUAUCAGCUUGUUGGUGGGGUAGUGGCCUACCAAGGCGGCGACGGGUAGCCGGCCUGAGAGGGUGACCGGCCACAUUGGGACUGAGAUACGGCCCAGACUCCUACGGGAGGCAGCAGUGGGGAAUAUUGCACAAUGGGCGCAAGCCUGAUGCAGCAACGCCGCGUGCGGGAUGACGGCCUUCGGGUUGUAAACCGCUUUCAGCAGGGACGAAGCUUUUUGUGACGGUACCUGCAGAAGAAGCACCGGCUAACUACGUG
rnacentral:rRNA from 1 species